rnacentral:rRNA from 1 species
UAACAUGAUUAGUAGCAAUACUAAUUGAUGACGAGCGGCGGACGGGUGAGGAAUACGUAGGAACCUGCCCUCAAGAGGGGGAUAACUAAGGGAAACUUUAGCUAAUACCGCAUAAUCUUGAAGAAGCAAAGCUGCCCUGGAGAGAUCCGGGGUGGCACUUGAGGAGGGGCCUGCGUCCGAUUAGCUAGUUGGUGAGGUAAGAGCUCACCAAGGCGAUGAUCGGCAACUGGUCUGAGAGGACGACCAGUCACACUGGGACUGAGACACGGCCCAGACUCCUACGGGAGGCAGCAGUGGGGAAUAUUGGACAAUGGGGGCAACCCUGAUCCAGCGAUGCCGCGUGGGUGAAGAAGGCCUUCGGGUUGUAAAGCCCUUUAGGUUGGGACGAAGGUUAUUAUCGGAUAAUGGUAGUAACUUGACGGUACCGACAGAAUAAGCACCGGCAAACUCUGUGCCAGCAGCCGCGGUAAUACAGAGGGUGCGAGCGUUAAUCGGAUUUACUGGGCGUAAAGGGCGCGUAGGCGGUGAGAUGUGAGUGAUGUGAAAGCCCCGGGCUCAACCUGGGAAGUGCAUCGCAGACUAUCUGACUGGAGUAGAUGAGAGGGUGGCGGAAUUUCCGGUGUAGCGGUGAAAUGCGUAGAGAUCGGAAGGAACGUCGAUGGCGAAGGCAGCCACCUGGCAUCAUACUGACGCUGAGGCGCGAAAGCGUGGGGAUCGAACAGGAUUAGAUACCCUGGUAGUCCACGCUGUAAACGAUGAAAACUAGAUGUUGGUAGGGGAACCUAUCAGUAUCGAAGCUAACGCGAUAAG